rnacentral:rRNA from 1 species
GGGACACGUGGUAUCCUGUCUGAAUAUGGGGGGACCAUCCUCCAAGGCUAAAUACUCCUGACUGACCGAUAGUGAACCAGUACCGUGAGGGAAAGGCGAAAAGAACCCCGGCGAGGGGAGUGAAAAAGAACCUGAAACCGUGUACGUACAAGCAGUGGGAGCACGCUUAGGCGUGUGACUGCGUACCUUUUGUAUAAUGGGUCAGCGACUUAUAUUCUGUAGCAAGGUUAACCGAAUAGGGGAGCCGAAGGGAAACCGAGUCUUAACUGGGCGUUAAGUUGCAGGGUAUAGACCCGAAACCCGGUGAUCUAGCCAUGGGCAGGUUGAAGGUUGGGUAACACUAACUGGAGGACCGAACCGACUAAUGUUGAAAAAUUAGCGGAUGACUUGUGGCUGGGGGUGAAAGGCCAAUCAAACCGGGAGAUAGCUGGUUCUCCCCGAAAGCUAUUUAGGUAGCGCCUCGUGAAUUCAUCUCCGGGGGUAGAGCACUGUUUCGGCAAGGGGGUCAUCCCGACUUACCAACCCGAUGCAAACUGCGAAUACCGGAGAAUGUUAUCACGGGAGACACACGGCGGGUGCUAACGUCCGUCGUGAAGAGGGAAACAACCCAGACCGCCAGCUAAGGUCCCAAAGUCAUGGUUAAGUGGGAAACGAUGUGGGAAGGCCCAGACAGCCAGGAUGUUGGCUUAGAAGCAGCCAUCAUUUAAAGAAAGCGUAAUAGCUCACUGGUCGAGUCGGCCUGCGCGGAAGAUGUAACGGGGCUAAACCAUGCACCGAAGCUGCGGCAGCGACGCUUAUGCGUUGUUGGGUAGGGGAGCGUUCUGUAAGCCUGUGAAGGUGUGCUGUGAGGCAUGCUGGAGGUAUCAGAAGUGCGAAUGCUGACAUAAGUAACGAUAAAGCGGGUGAAAAGCCCGCUCGCCGGAAGACCAAGGGUUCCUGUCCAACGUUAAUCGGGGCAGGGUGAGUCGACCCCUAAGGCGAGGCCGAAAGGCGUAGUCGAUGGGAAACAGGUUAAUAUUCCUGUACUUGGUGUUACUGCGAAGGGGGGACGGAGAAGGCUAUGUUGGCCGGGCGACGGUUGUCCCGGUUUAAGCGUGUAGGCUGGUUUUCCAGGCAAAUCCGGAAAAUCAAGGCUGAGGCGUGAUGACGAGGCACUACGGUGCUGAAGCAACAAAUGCCCUGCUUCCAGGAAAAGCCUCUAAGCAUCAGGUAACAUCAAAUCGUACCCCAAACCGACACAGGUGGUCAGGUAGAGAAUACCAAGGCGCUUGAGAGAACUCGGGUGAAGGAACUAGGCAAAAUGGUGCCGUAACUUCGGGAGAAGGCACGCUGAUAUGUAGGUGAAGCGACUUGCUCGUGGAGCUGAAAUCAGUCGAAGAUACCAGCUGGCUGCAACUGUUUAUUAAAAACACAGCACUGUGCAAACACGAAAGUGGACGUAUACGGUGUGACGCCUGCCCGGUGCCGGAAGGUUAAUUGAUGGGGUCAGCGCAAGCGAAGCUCUUGAUCGAAGCCCCGGUAAACGGCGGCCGUAACUAUAACGGUCCUAAGGUAGCGAAAUUCCUUGUCGGGUAAGUUCCGACCUGCACGAAUGGCGUAAUGAUGGCCAGGCUGUCUCCACCCGAGACUCAGUGAAAUUGAACUCGCUGUGAAGAUGCAGUGUACCCGCGGCAAGACGGAAAGACCCCGUGAACCUUUACUAUAGCUUGACACUGAACAUUGAGCCUUGAUGUGUAGGAUAGGUGGGAGGCUUAGAAGUGUGGACGCCAGUCUGCAUGGAGCCGACCUUGAAAUACCACCCUUUAAUGUUUGAUGUUCUAACGUUGACCCGUAAUCCGGGUUGCGGACAGUGUCUGGUGGGUAGUUUGACUGGGGCGGUCUCCUCCUAAAGAGUAACGGAGGAGCACGAAGGUUGGCUAAUCCUGGUCGGACAUCAGGAGGUUAGUGCAAUGGCAUAAGCCAGCUUGACUGCGAGCGUGACGGCGCGAGCAGGUGCGAAAGCAGGUCAUAGUGAUCCGGUGGUUCUGAAUGGAAGGGCCAUCGCUCAACGGAUAAAAGGUACUCCGGGGAUAACAGGCUGAUACCGCCCAAGAGUUCAUAUCGACGGCGGUGUUUGGCACCUCGAUGUCGGCUCAUCACAUCCUGGGGCUGAAGUAGGUCCCAAGGGUAUGGCUGUUCGCCAUUUAAAGUGGUACGCGAGCUGGGUUUAGAACGUCGUGAGACAGUUCGGUCCCUAUCUGCCGUGGGCGCUGGAGAACUGAGGGGGGCUGCUCCUAGUACGAGAGGACCGGAGUGGACGCAUCACUGGUGUUCGGGUUGUCAUGCCAAUGGCACUGCCCGGUAGCUAAAUGCGGAAGAGAUAAGUGCUGAAAGCAUCUAAGCACGAAACUUGCCCCGAGAUGAGUUCUCCCUGACUCCUUGAGAGUCCUGAAGGAACGUUGAAGACGACGACGUUGAUAGGCCGGGUGUGUAAGCGCAGCGAUGCGUUGAGCUAACCGGUACUAAUGAACCGUGAGGCUUAACCUUACAACGCCGAAGCUGUU